UACGUAGGGGGCAAGCGUUGUCCGGAUUUAUUGGGCGUAAAGCGCGUGUAGGCGGCCAAGUAGGUCCGCUGUGAAAACUUGAGGCUCAACCUCAAGCUGUCGGUGGAAACCCCUUGGCUAGAGUCCGGAAGAGGAGAGUGGAAUUCCUGGUGUAGCGGUGAAAUGCGCAGAUAUCAGGAAGAACACCAAUGGCGAAGGCAGCUCUCUGGGACGGUACUGACACUGAGACGCGAAAGCGUGGGGGAGCGAACAGG
rnacentral:rRNA from 1 species